UGCAGUCGAGGGGUAACGGGGUGCUUGCACCGCCGACGACCGGCGCACGGGUGCGUAACGCGUAUGCAACCUACCUUUUACAGGGGGAUAGCCCAGAGAAAUUUGGAUUAAUAUCCCAUAGUAUUAUUGGAUGGCAUCAUUUAAUAAUUAAAGAUUUAUCGGUAAAAGAUGGGCAUGCGUUCUAUUAGCUAGAUGGUGUGGUAACGGCAUACCAUGGCAACGAUAGAUAGGGGUCCUGAGAGGGAGAUCCCCCACACUGGUACUGAGACACGGACCAGACUCCUACGGGAGGCAGCAGUGAGGAAUAUUGGACAAUGGGCGGGAGCCUGAUCCAGCCAUGCCGCGUGCAGGAAGACUGCCCUAUGGGUUGUAAACUGCUUUUAUACGGGAAGAAACACUCCCUCGUGAGGGAAUUUGACGGUACCGUAAGAAUAAGGAUCGGCUAACUCCGUGCCAGCAGCCGCGGUAAUACGGAGGAUCCAAGCGUUAUCCGGAAUCAUUGGGUUUAAAGGGUCCGUAGGUGGACGAUUAAGUCAGAGGUGAAAUCUUGCAGCUCAACUGUAAAAUUGCCUUUGAUACUGGUUGUCUUGAGUUAUUAUGAAGUGGUUAGAAUAUGUAGUGUAGCGGUGAAAUGCAUAGAUAUUACAUAGAAUACCAAUUGCGAAGGCAGAUCACUAAUAAUAUACUGACACUGAUGGACGAAAGCGUGGGUAGCGAACAGGAUUAGAUACCCUGGUAGUCCACGCCGUAAACGAUGGUUACUAGCUGUUCGGUCGCAAGACUGAGUGGCUAAGCGAAAGUGAUAAGUAACCCACCUGGGGAGUACGUUCGCAAGAAUGAAACUCAAGGAAUUGACGGGGGCCCGCACAAGCGGUGGAGCAUGUGGUUUUAUUUCGAUGAUACGCGAGGAA
rnacentral:rRNA from 1 species